rnacentral:tRNA from 1 species
GCCCUAGUAGCUCAACAUC